CGCUGUGGAUGGCCGAGGAAGUCGUCACCGAGGAUUGACAACCGGAAGACGAAAGGUUUCUUUGCUUCUAGGGGCCCAUUCGUCAAUAUUUCGCGAGAUUUGAGCCCGGAUCUAGGCUCAGGAGGUUAAGAAGGUUAAAAGGGGAAUUUUCCCUUUUCCCGGCCACCGUGGACGGUGGUACAGGCGCCGGAGAUAGGCGGCUGG
rnacentral:lncRNA from 1 species